GACGAACGCUGGCGGCGUGCCUAAUACAUGCAAGUUGAGCGCUGAAGGUUGGUACUUGUACCAACUGGAUGAGCAGCGAACGGGUGAGUAACGCGUGGGGAAUCUGCCUUUGAGCGGGGGACAACAUUUGGAAACGAAUGCUAAUACCGCAUAAAAACUUUAAACACAAGUUUUAAGUUUGAAAGAUGCAAUUGCAUCACUCAAAGAUGAUCCCGCGUUGUAUUAGCUAGUUGGUGAGGUAAAGGCUCACCAAGGCGAUGGUACAUAGCCGACCUGAGAGGGGGAUCGGCCACAUUGGGACUGAGACACGGCCCAAACUCCUACGGGAGGCAGCAGUAGGGAAACUUCGGCAAUGGACGAAAGUCUGACCGAGCAACGCCGCGUGAGUGAAGAAGGUUUUCGGAUCGUAAAACUCUGUUGGUAGAGAAGAACGUUGGUGAGAGUGGAAAGCUCAUCAAGUGACGGUAACUACCCAGAAAGGGACGGCUAACUACGUG
rnacentral:rRNA from 1 species